rnacentral:rRNA from 1 species
UACGUAGGGUGCGAGCGUUGUCCGGAAUUAUUGGGCGUAAAGGGCUCGUAGGCGGUUUGUCGCGUCGGGUGUGAAAUCCACUGGCUUAACUGGUGGCUUGCUUUCGAUACGGGCAGACUGGAGGUAUGCAGGGGAGAGCGGAAUUCCUGGUGUAGCGGUGAAAUGCGCAGAUAUCAGGAGGAACACCGGUGGCGAAGGCGGUUCUCUGGGCAUGCCCUGACGCUGAGGAGCGAAAGUGUGGGGAGCGAACAGG